UGGGGAAUAUUGCACAAUGGAGGGUACUCUGAUGCAGCAACGCCGCGUGCGGGAUGACGGCCUUCGGGUUGUAAACCGCUUUCAGCCAUGACGAAGCUUUUGUGACGGUAGUGGUAGAAGAAGCACCGGCUAACUACGUGCCAGCAGCCGCGGUGAUACGUAGGGUGCGAGCGUUGUCCGGAAUUAUUGGGCGUAAAGAGCUUGUAGGCGGUUUGUCGCGUCGAUAGUGUAAACACGCAGCUUAACUGUGUGCCUGCUGUCGAUACGGGCUGACUAGAGGAGGGUAGGGGAGAAUGGAAUUCCCGGUGGAGCGGUGGAAUGCGCAGAUAUCGGGAGGAACACCAGUGGCGAAGGCGGUUCUCUGGACCUUUCCUGACGCUGAGAAGCGAAAGCGUGGGUAGCAAACAGG
rnacentral:rRNA from 1 species